rnacentral:rRNA from 1 species
AUGGCCGACGCCUCCUUUCCCUCGCCCGCGAUGUUGCCGCCGUCCGAUUCCGACCUGCUCCUGCCGCCCACCGACGCCCCGACCCCCGAAGCCGCCGCCAGGACCCCCAACCUCCCCGACACCCCCGCCUCCGCCGCGGAUCCAGAGACCCCCUUCUCCGACGCCGCCACCGCCUCCGACGCCGACGUUUCCGCCGUCGCCCCGCUCUACGCGGCGGCCGUGGAUGACGCCGAGGACGACGGGAUCAACGACCCCUCGGGCGCCGCCAGGAAGCACAUGACCCUCGCGCCCCCGGCCCCGCCGACCAAGAAGUCCAAGAAGAAGGGCGGCAACUGCGUCUGGACCAGGCCCAACUCCCGCAAGGGGAAGAAGAAGGCCAAGCCGCCCGGCCACGCCGUCGCCGGCGGCGCCGGCGCCAGCGGAGGCGGCCGCCCCAGGCCCUCCUGUGGCGAGGACGAGUUCCUCCUCACCCCGGCACCCCGCCUCGCGGCCGAACGCAACGACGACGGGCCUGAACUGCCUGUGCUCCUCUCGCGUGUCUACAAGUCCGAGAAGAUCGAGGUCUCGGAGGAUCGCCUAACCGCAGGCAGCACCAAGGGCUACCGAAUGAUACGUGCCACCCGUGGCAUUGCAUCCGGUGCUUGGUAUUUUGAGGUCAAGGUCAUGCACCUUGGUAGCUCCGGCGCCACCCGUCUCGGCUGGGCCACCAACAAGGCUGACAUCCAGACACCUGUGGGUUGCGACAGCUUUGGUUUCAGUUACCGCAGCGUCGAUGGCUCCAAGGUGUACAAGGCCUGGAGGGAUAAGUAUGCCGAUGAAGGAUACGGCGAAGGAGAUAUUCUGGGCUUCUACAUUUCUCUGCCUCAGGGCGAGCUGUAUGAGCCCAAACAACCUGACCUGGUUAAGUACAAGGGAAUGCCUUUCCAUGCACAAGGUCUCAAGGAUGAGAAAAAGACGCCGGAUCCUGUUCCUGGAAGUGAGAUAGUUUACUUCAAGAACGGGGUAUGCCAAGGCACGGCCUUUGAGGAUAUUCCUGGAGGGCGCUACUACCCAGCUGCAUCAAUGUACUCACUGCCUGAUGAGCCGAAUUGUGAGGUCAGGUUCAACUUUGGGCCUGAUUUCACGUUCUUUCCUGAAGACUUCGCAGGCCGUCCUGUCCCUCGGCCAAUGAGCGAGGUGCCUUACCAGGCAUAUGAGCUGAAGAACGAGGGACCUGCUGAAAAUGGUAAUGCUGAAAAGGCUGGUUAG